GACGAACGCUGGCGGCGUGCUUAACACAUGCAAGUCGAACGAUGAAGAAGAGCUUGCUCUUCGGAUUAGUGGCGAACGGGAGAGUAACACGUGACUAACCUGCCCCUUUCUCUGGGAUAACGCUCCGAAAGGAGUGCUAAUACCGGAUACUCACAUCGAGGCACAUGCCUUGAUGUGGAAAGUUUUUCGGAAAGGGAUGGAGUCGCGGCCUAUCAGGUUGUUGGUGAGGUAACGGCUCACCAAGGCGACGACGGGUAGCCGGCCUGGGAGGGCGACCGGCCACACUGGGACUGAGACACGGCCCAGACUCCUACGGGAGGCAGCAGUGGGGAAUAUUGCACAAUGGGCGAAAGCCUGAUGCAGCGACGCCGCGUGAGGGAUGAAGGUCUUCGGAUUGUAAACCUCUUUCAGUAGGGACGAAGCGAAAGUGACGGUACCUAAAGAAGAAGCACCGGCUAACUACGUGCCAGCCGCCGCCGUAA
rnacentral:rRNA from 1 species